GCCAGCGUAGCUCAGUGGUAGAGCACUCGAUUCGUAAUCGAGCGGUCGUCGGUUCAAUCCCGACCGCUGGCU
rnacentral:tRNA from 3 species